rnacentral:misc_RNA from 1 species
UUUCCGUAGGUGAACCUGCGGAAGGAUCAUUAAAGAAUUUGCCCCGUCCUCUCGAGGAUGGGUCCUCUUCUAAACCGUGUAUACAUACCUUUGUUGCUUUGGCGGGCCGCCGUCUCGGCGUUGGCUUCGGCUGACUGUGCCCGCCAGAGAACCCCAACUCUUCUGUUUAGUAUUGUCUGAGUACUAUAUAAUAGUUAAAACUUUCAACAACGGAUCUCUUGGUCCUG